GCUCUGUUACCGCUCUGUUACCGUUCUGUUACCGUUCUGUUACCGUUCUGUUACCGCUCUGUUACCGCUCUGUUACCGUUCUGUUACCGUUCUGUUACCGCUCUGUUACCGCUCUAGAUGCAGUUUUCACAAAUUGGUAGCGGAUUGAUAUUUAUUUUUUAUUUUUUAAUGGUUCUAAAAUCGGAGGAUAUUUUCGUAUCUUGAUCUGAUGUUUACAGAACGUGAUGUAAUGCCGUGCAGUCAGUGACUGUCAGGACAUGUAUAGUACCAGAGGAGGGAUAUGGUCUCCGAGUUGGUCUCUUUAGGUGUCCUUUUAUGUGUGUUGAGUAACGCUGUUCGUUCCGUUUGUCUGUGUUAGACGGUCUUGUUGUUGCCUGUAGUGGGAGAUUUGAAAGGUUAGUUGUAUAGGGAGUCCUCUAGCCUGUUGGCAGUGUAUUUAGCUGUAGAAGAUAUUCCACAAGUGUCCCCGAGUGUUUUAGACAAGGCCUUUCUUCAUUGUCAUCAUCAUCAUCAUCAUCAGAAAUGUUAACAGUAGAAAGCUUCCUAUUUCUAAUGGACUGGUUUCUAAAAUCAAACAAUUUUUUAAUUGGCUGAAUUAUUAAUGAUCCUGAAAUGAGGCCCUCUUCCCCUCUGUCGUCCGCUCAUAUCAGCCAGCGGGUCAUUAUUGAUUAUUGGAACCGGCGAUUUACCGAUCAAGAAUCUCUCUCCCGUGUGCUCCUGCGUUGUUUCAGGGAAUUCCACAAACGGUCCUUCCCUCUUUUGUCCUGUGACUGCGGUGUGAACGAAACGGUCCUUCGGUCAUAUUUCAGUGUGUCGUGUACCAGCUGCUCUCUAAACGGUAGUGUCCAUGUUAAAGUCAGUGGUCGUAUCUGACUGUAUCUAACAGAUGGAAAUUGUCAUUUUGAAAGUAUCGAAAAAGGGGUUUCUGAAAUACAAAACGUGAAAAACUCGUAAAAGAACCACUGUUGCCACGAGGACGUGGAUUAUAACAUAUGAAAUUGAUGUUGGGGGUUUAACGUGGGGCGUAUUUCCUGUUCUCACUGCGCUACGCCUUUACGCCUCUGACGCGCCGUGUCAUUCCUGAAAAGCAGUUUGACUGUCUAACUCCGAGCGAACCUAAUUAACGUACUGUACUCUCUCCGUGGUGUCUGUCCAAUGAAAUGAGCAGUAGCUUGCCAGCGGGUUGGACUGUGUUCACUACCAUUGUGUAGAACCUAGACAGACUUCAUACUAGGAACAUUAGAAUCUCCUGAUUUAGAUUUAAUUUUCAUACAAUCUGAAUAUCUGUUUAUCAGCCACUGAUGUCAUUCAGAGUAUCGUGUUUUAUAGUGAUAUACGUUUUAAGGUGACAUAAAAGAGACCGUUGUUGGCGUGCUCGGACAACUCUCCUCGUGGUUUUGUCUUGAACUUUAAGCUUUUGGACGUGGAAAUGUUUCCUUAACAUUUUUAAAAACCAAGAUUUGUAACAAAUUUAAAUAAAAUCAUUAAAAAAAAAAGGAAAAUUGAUGUUAAAAAAAGGGGUCAGAAUGUGAUCCCGGUUUGCUGCCUCCUGCUCUGCUGAGCAGCGUCUCUGUACAGUCAUCUCUUACCACCAUAACAUGGUGUCAGAAGUGAAUCACCCUCAUCAAAUAAUAACAACCGAGUUCAUCUGAUAUAAGACCGGAAAAACAUCGUUAGACUCGACACGAGAGAAUAUCUGACAGAAAAUAAUACUAUUACGUGAGUUUGGUCGGGUUUUUUUUUUUUUUUUUUUUUUUGUGAAGGAAAAAGAAGCUGAAAGCUCUGUCUCUCUCUCAUCUUCCGAGCGGAGACGUUGCUAUGCAACAGGCAGAGAGCACAUGGAGCAGAAGCAGAACAAUGUAGGGCCCCAGAGGUGAGCAGGGUCCCAGAGGUGAGCAGGGUCCCAGAGGUGAGCAGGGUCCCAGAGGUGCGCAGGGCCCCAGAGGUGCGCAGGGCCCCAGAGGUGAGCAGCUAACAGAGAAAGUUAUUUCUGAUUUUGGGUUAGGACAGAUGCUAAAUGAAACAAAAAAACAUUUAUUUUUUGGUUAGGUUUUUUUUUUAAAUUCACAAUCCCAAUGUUUUGUUUUAACUUUCUCAACUCUACUUCGCUAGUUCAUUAAUCGUUUCAUCCUCUACCUAUCAUUUUGAAACCUUCAGGACUUGACUGCCCUGUCUCUGACUGGUCAUAUUUUCUCUGACUGGUCAUAUUGUCUCUGACUGGUCAUAUUGUCUCUGCCCUGUCUCUGACUGGUCAUAUUGUCUCUGACUGGUCAUAUUGUCUCUGCCCUGUCUCUGACUGGUCAUAUUGUCUCUGACUGGUCAUAUUGUCUCUGCCCUGUCUCUGACUGGUCAUAUUUUCUCUGCCCUGUCUCUGACUGGUCAUAUUGUCUCUGACUGGUCAUAUUGUCUCUGCCCUGUCUCUGACUGGUCAUAUUGUCUCUGACUGGUCAUAUUGUCUCUGCCCUGUCUCUGACUGGUCAUAUUGUCUCUGCCCUGUCUCUGACUGGUCAUAUUGUCUCUGACUGGUCAUAUUGUCUCUGCCCUGUCUCUGACUGGUCAUAUUUUCUCUGCCCUGUCUCUGACUGGUCAUAUUGUCUCUGACUGGUCAUAUUGUCUCUGCCCUGUCUCUGACUGGUCAUAUUGUCUCUGACUGGUCAUAUUGUCUCUGCCCUGUCUCUGACUGGUCAUAUUGUCUCUGCCCUGUCUCUGACUGGUCAUAUUGUCUCUGACUGGUCAUAUUGUCUCUGCCC
ensembl:lncRNA